CAGUUAGGCUGAUGAGUAGGCAAAUCCGCUCAUCAUAAAGGCUGAGCUGUGAUGACGAGGGAAUUAUAGUACCGAAGUUCCUGAUUCCACACUGCCAAGAAAAGCCUCUAGCGAGGCGGGAGGUGCCCGUACCGCAAACCGACACAGGUAGGCGAGGAGAGAAUCCUAAGGUGAUCGAGAGAACUCUCGUUAAGGAACUCGGCAAAAUGACCCCGUAACUUCGGGAGAAGGGGUGCUCUGGUAGGGUGUAUAGCCCGAGAGAGCCGCAGUGAAUAGGCCCAGGCGACUGUUUAGCAAAAACACAGGUCUCUGCGAAGCCGCAAGGCGAAGUAUAGGGGCUGACGCCUGCCCGGUGCUGGAAGGUUAAGAGGAGGGGUUAUCCUUUGGGAGAAGCUCUGAAUCGAAGCCCCAGUAAACGGCGGCCGUAACUAUAACGGUCCUAAGGUAGCGAAAUUCCUUGUCGGGUAAGUUCCGACCCGCACGAAAGGCGUAACGAUCUGGGCACUGUCUCAACGAGAGACUCGGUGAAAUUAUAGUACCUGUGAAGAUGCAGGUUACCCGCGACAGGACGGAAAGACCCCGUGGAGCUUUACUGUAGCCUGAUAUUGAAUUUUGGUACAGCUUGUACAGGAUAGGUAGGAGCCUGAGAAGCCGGAGCGCUAGCUUCGGUGGAGGCGUCGGUGGGAUACUACCCUGGCUGUAUUGAAAUUCUAACCCGCGGCCCUGAUCGGGCCGGGAGACAGUGUCAGGUGGGCAGUUUGACUGGGGCGGUCGCCUCCUAAAAUGUAACGGAGGCGCCCAAAGGUUCCCUCAGAAUGGUUGGAAAUCAUUCGUAGAGUGUAAAGGCACAAGGGAGCUUGACUGCGAGACCUACAAGUCGAGCAGGGACGAAAGUCGGGCUUAGUGAUCCGGUGGUUCCGCAUGGAAGGGCCAUCGCUCAACGGAUAAAAGCUACCCCGGGGAUAACAGGCUUAUCUCCCCCAAGAGUCCACAUCGACGGGGAGGUUUGGCACCUCGAUGUCGGCUCAUCGCAUCCUGGGGCUGUAGUCGGUCCCAAGGGUUGGGCUGUUCGCCCAUUAAAGCGGUACGCGAGCUGGGUUCAGAACGUCGUGAGACAGUUCGGUCCCUAUCCGUCGUGGGCGUAGGAAAUUUGAGAGGAGCUGUCCUUAGUACGAGAGGACCGGGAUGGACACACCGCUGGUGUACCAGUUGUCUUGCCAAAGGCAUCGCUGGGUAGCUAUGUGUGGACGGGAUAAGUGCUGAAAGCAUCUAAGCAUGAAGCCCCCCUCAAGAUGAGAUUUCCCAUAGCGCAAGCUAGUAAGAUCCCUGAAAGAUGAUCAGGUUGAUAGGUCAGAGGUGGAAGCGUGGCGACAUGUGUAGCUGACUGAUACUAAUCGAUCGAGGACUUAACCAAA
rnacentral:rRNA from 1 species